rnacentral:rRNA from 1 species
UACGUAGGCAGCGAGCGUUGUUCGGAGUUACUGGGCGUAAAGGGUGUGUAGGCGGUUCUUUAAGUUUGGUGUGAAAUCUCCCGGCUCAACCGGGAGGGUGCGCCGAAUACUGAGGGACUUCGAGUGCGGGAGAGGAAAGUGGAAUUCCUGGUGUAGCGGUGAAAUGCGUAGAUAUCGAGAGGAACACCUGCGGCGAAGGCGGGUUGCUGGGCCGACACUGACGCUGAUGCGCGAAAGCCAGGGGAGCGAACGGG